UACGUAGGGUGCGAGCGUUAAUCGGAAUUACUGGGCGUAAAGCGUGCGCAGGCGGUUUUGUAAGCCAGAUGUGAAAUCCCCGGGCUUAACCUGGGAAUGGCAUUUGGGACUGCAAGGCUGGAGUGUGGCAGAGGAGACUGGAAUUCCUGGUGUAGCAGUGAAAUGCGUAGAGAUCGGGAGGAACAUCAGUUGCGAAGGCGGCUCUCUGGACCAGCACUGACACUGAGGCACGAAAGCGUGGGGAGCAAACAGG
rnacentral:rRNA from 1 species